AGUCUUGUUUCAGUCUUGCUUUAUCCCCUUUUCAUGCUCCACCAUUCAAUUCUUCGAUUUGCUUUCUCUCUCCUUUGAACCAGUCUUUCUCAAUAUCACUCCAUUAGAUGGAGUACAUUUUUCCUUUCUCACUUUAUUUUCUCUCUCUUUGCUUCAACAUGAAAGACCUCAUCACCAAGCAUAGAGAUUUCAAUAUCACUCCACCACCACCAUCAUCACAACUACCGUCAUAUUUUAUCUCCACUCUUCGCCGCCGACCUCACUUCAAUGGUGCGGUGGAGUUUGAUCAAGCAUUCAUGGAAAAAGCUUUUGAAUGGUUAAUGUCAAAUAACUCAGUUGCAGUUACGUCAUCAAAUAAAAUGUUGUUAUUCUUUGGGAUCCCUAAUUAUUUGUUAUAAUGAAUUAGGAUUCAGGGCAAUGCCCAAUUUCAUCUAAUGGAUCCUUCAAUCAUAUACUCUUAGAUUAAUUUCUUAGCAAUUCCCAAUUUCUUCUUUUAUGUAGUUAGGAUCGGUUCAUCCUAUUUUAUUUCCAUUUUUCACAAACUCUUCGACUCUCCAUUGUAGCGGCUUCUAAUGAAGGGAGCUCAAGGAUCUAUUAAUGAAGACGAUCGUUCUGCAUUUGAUUAAAGGUUAGAAUAACUGUGUUGAAAUCAGAGGGGUGGAUUGGAAAAGCUUAUGGAGAAUCGUAGCCUUCUGUUCACUCGAUUAAGCUCUAAUGUAUACACGGUGAUCUCUGAUGAAAUUCUGGUGGCGAGAAAUUAUUGUCAAUUCCUGGCAUUGAUGUUUUAAAGCUCCAAAUUCAAAGGGGGAACGAGCUGUAGCUAUGUAUGUAAACGCUAAAGCCUCAUCUACUUUGCUUUAUCAUCAUGGCAGUGUCGGCGAUUUAGGUCCGAUGUUUGAGCUUUUUGUGGAGCUUAGCAGUCAUCUUCGUGUUAAUCUUAUGGAGGAAGGUCAAGUAAUUUUCCGUCAGAUCCAAGAUCUGUAGGUCAGGGGAUUGUAAAGGUUGAAUAUGAGAGAAGCUCACUGGAAAUGAAGAACUUUGAGAUGAUCUCGAGAAGAUACAAAUUCAAUUUUUUAGGCCAUGCUCACCAUCAUCAUCAAUCCCGAAUCUCAAUAAAAUCAACGGUGGAGGGAGAAAUUGUUGAAAACGGUAUAGAAUUGAUGAUUGGCGGUAAUUGGUGGGCGUUGGCUGUGAUUUGGUGCGCAAUUGAAGAAUUGGUGAUGUGGGGUUGUUCUGUUUGGUGCAAGGAGAUGGAGCAGCAGCAGGGCACCAAGGUUGCUGGUGGCUGCUGUUUGUGAGGGAGAAGGGAGUUGUGGUUGGGUGAGGUGGAGGAUUCUGGCUCGUUGGUGGGGUGUGUGGGUGCGGAAGUUUUUGGUGGUGAGGAUUGGUUACGGUGGUCGGAAAUUGGUGGAAUCAGGGCUGUAGAAGGGUAGGGGUGGAAUAGAGACUGGUUGGUGGGUUGUGUGGGAGGUUUGGCCUGUUGGGUGAGGGGGAGGUUGGCAGCAAUAGUCAAGAAGGGGAGGGGCGGUUCUGGUGGUGGGAUGGGACUGGAGUGGUAUAGUGGUGGUGGGGAUUGAGAGAGGGGUGGAGCAGUGGUGGUGUUUGGGGAAGGAGAGACAAAAGAACAAAAAUUGUUUAAGGACGGAGCAUUAGGAUCGUGGAGAAGAGUAGGGUCGAGGAUUUGGGGGUUAGCGAGUAGGUAAGCUCGGGGUGGGGGAGGUGGGCUGGUCACCAGCAACUAAUUGGCACUUCUUUUCAUCAAUGGCACUUCUCAGCACUAUACUGGUGGAUUUUUUGCAUAAGAUUUUAAUUUUAUGUUUUGUUAAAUUUGAAUUUGAAGGGUAUAUUUAAUUUGGAUUUUUUUCGGAAAUUUGUAAGAUGUGGUUUUGGAUUAGGGAGGAGAUACUGACUUGGGCAAGGAAGAAGACGGGUGAGCCUAUUGUUAGAUUGAAUUCAGUUGCUGAAGCUGAGGCAUUUGCUAAGAAAUACAGUAUGUAUGUUGUUGGGUUGUUUCAGAAUUUUGAGGUAUUUUCUGUUCUGUAAAAUUUUCCAAUUAUGUAGUUUUAGUCUUUGGUUCGGAGAAUUUCGAUGUAUUAUCAUCGGCAUUGGCAAAUCUCUGUUAUCUGUAAUAUGUUUUUCUGAGUUUGUAUGCGUUGGUGUUGUUUAUCUUGUGCUUACUGCAGUUGAUUGACAAGGAAGUCGAUAACUUUUGUUUCAAUGGUGUAAUGUGGUGUGAGACUGCAACUUAGUAGUGUGAUCUGCUGAAUUAUACUCCAUAGUAGAUAUGAUUGGAUGUUUGAUAUGUUCUGAUAAAUAAGGAGUAUUAUAAAGUGAAUAGGAUUGAUAUAAUUAGGCAAGUGUGCACCUGCUUAUGCAUUUUCCUUGUGAUGCCAUAGAAUCUCAAUGACAUAUCAUCGGUGCUAUGAAAUUACUCUCUUAUAGCUCAAGUGCACUGUGAUGUUUGAUUAUCUUGAUAUUUAUGUUGAUGUUUGAUUAUCUAGAUAUUUAUGUUAGCAUUACAGGGUACUCGUAACUAAUAAGACCAACAUCAAUGCUUACAAUCUGGUAUCAUCUUUUGAAGAGCAUAAUGACUCGUGAAUCGGCAAUCUGGCUUGCACCUUUCUAGCUGCAGUUUUUGUUACAUUAUUGACAUCACCUCUUUUAUACAAAUGUGUAGUUUUAAAUUUAUGCGUUAUUAAGGUUAAAUUUAUUCAGUAUAAAUAGCUUAUUCUUGCUUCUAUUUUUUUAGCUUUGUGAUUUCAAAUUUGCACGUGCCAUGUCAAAAAAGACUGUUUUUCUUCACUCUGUCUAAGGUCGGGCUUAUCUGCUGCUAUUUGCCUCUUAUACGCUGCAGACACCAUAGCAAAUAGUUUUAUUAGAACAACUUUCUGGUAUGAAAAGUGGCAAAACAACUUUCUGGUAUGAUAGGUAUGAAUGUUUUGGGUUUUGUCAAUUUCUCAUUACUAUAUUCGUAGUUUAAUUCAUCGUCUUCUCUUUAAAUUGGUUGAUUUUUGUGUUUUCUUUUUGCUUGAAAUGCAGUUUUUUUUCUUAAAAUAUGGUGGAUAAUGCAUGUACUGAGCACCCAUUAUUUGGUGGGGCAAUAUCAAUGACCUUUCCUGAUAGAUUCUUGAUUUUACAUGCCAAAUUUCCCAAUUUCUUGCUUUUUAUUUAAGUUAUAUUUGUGGGAAAUUAACAAUAUUUUGAAUUUUUGUUUUAUGUGCAAAUUUUAAUUAUAUUUAUAGGAUUUGAGCAAUGUACGGGAAGUCCCUGAUCAUCACGUUGAAUUUUUUUUUUUUUUAAGAGGUUGUAAAUUAUUUGUAAUGAUGGGUUUUGUGGGUAAUUACUAAUUAAUGGAAGGGUCAAUGUGGUUUUUGUUUUUGUGUGUAUAGGAAGCGUUUGCUAACCCUAAUCAAGAAGGUAGUGUUGUUUGGUUCCUACAAGAACUUGCUAGGGAACAGGAUGCUGAAGGCGGUAUGGUGAGUUUGUCAAGUUUUGUUUCGUUUAAUUUCUUUUAUGUUGGGUAACGUUCAAUUAUGUUGUUGCUAUUUGAUUAAUUGUGACAGGGUGUUAAAUUUGAUAAUUGACCUAUAAUGGACUUUAUUGUUGAUAAAUGUGAAUUAAGAUUAAGGGAUGAGAGAAAAUUCCUCUGAUAAAUAAUAUCUAUUCAUGAAAGAUUUAGUGACUUUCAAAGCAAUAAAUGUAUGAUGAAGACCUAAUGAUGCUAGAUAUGUCACUUGAACUUAUGAAGUAGGCAAGGAAGAUCAUUUGAAGUUUUGAACGUGGCAGCUUAGUUGUCCAGAAUUCAAAGUUGUAUAUUGCAACGGAUUUAAAAUAUGACCUGUCUUUAACAUUGAAGCCACUUUUAGAAUGACAAAGUUGAUCAUCAACAUCUUUUGUUAGGGUGAAACAGGUUUGUGCUAAUGCGUUGAGUUUUUGAAAGAAUUGAUGAUGAUGGACUACAGUGGUAUCUUCUGCAGUUAGUCCUGGCCCUUCAUUUUGAGCACUCAGGAUGGACUUUGUUCAGCUGAUCUAUCAUGUGACCAAGUAAGCACUUGAUCCCCUUGCUAUGGUGGCUCGACAAACAACAGUUCUCUUCGGAAGCUCUUUAUAGGUAUGAUAUGCGAUUUCAACAUCGUCCUAUUGAGUUUGUCAAAGAGGUAUGCUACAUUUUGUUUGUAAAUAUUUCUUAAUCAAUUGAACUCAUGCAACUACUCUAAUAUGUUUGAAAAUCCCAUAGUUAAUUACAAUAAUAUUGCCUACUUCUAUUUCUUUGGGCCUUGCUGUAAUGUGUCUAUGCUGCCUAUUAAGUCUUUUUUAUGUAAAUGUAUUAACUACUAUAACAAAAGAAAGUGAAUACCAGGUGUAAUUUAAAGAACUAAUACUUAAUUACUACUACUAUUUUUUUUUUAAAUGUGAAUGCCUCCAUUUUAGUCGCCCAAACCUUGGAAGUGGUACUCAUGAAUCAAAUUUAUUUUGUCCUUUGUUCAUCUUGUGCUUUAAGUUGAAGUUAUGAGUCUUUUAGUUCAUAACAUUUUGACUAAAAAGAGAUUAUGGAUUGAUUUGCUUUAUUCUUUAACCUUUACAAUUAACAUGCUUUAAGAUGUCAGAUGUGUGUAGUUUAAUUUGAGGCAAUUUGGGUAUUUAAGAUUGUAUCAUAGCAAUUUGUGUGUAUAUGAAGGCUAUUAGCUUAAUUGGUGAAGCAUUAUGCUAUCGUGAAUAAGAUGUGGGUUCAACACCUUAUGCACGAUUUAUUUAGUAUGUAAACUGUUUAGAGGAUCAUCUUUAGUAUGUAAACUUGGAGUUGGUAAACAAUACUUUUGAAAAAGAUUUUAAAUAAGUUUGUAAAACCUUAUAAGUCAAGUAUUAAAAUAUAAAGGAUGAUGGAUAAAUGUGACACCAAAUUAUCUAUAUAUUGGGGAGUCAAGAGAGGGCAUGCCAGGAGAGAAAAGGGCAUACCGGAAAAGGAAAGGGGCCGAGAGAGAGGGAGGCAGGAGACAAAAUGAGAGAAAAAGAAGGUAUGGGAAUGAGUUGGGAGAAGAGGGAGAGAGAUGGGGGGAAGGGAGAAGGUGUGCGAAAGAGAGAAAAAAAAGGGACAUGGGAAAGAGCGACAGAGGAGCAUGGAUAGAGGGAUGCAUCGAGAAAGAAGAACCCAAGUUAGAGAAGGGCUGGGAUAGAGAGAGGGGGUUGAGAGAGAAAAUAAAUCAGGAGUAGUAUUACCAGAUUCAUGUUUCAAUUCGGUACGUGGUACGAGUUCAUGGUUUGUGGCUUGAUCGAUUUAUUUAUAUAACGAAUAGUUUUAUAUAUAUAAAAAAUAAAUAAUGCAGUCUGUAUUUAUUUAUUUUUUUUUAUAUGAAAAAAAUAUUCUUUAUAUAAAAACUAUAAAGACCGCAUUAUUUAUUUAUAUAAAGAUUCAUGGUUGCAAACGAUAAUUUCAAAUUUGAUAGGGAUCAUUCAUCGGUUUUGUAUAUGAAUUAAGAUCUUUCCAAUUUGAAAUAGAAAAUUAGGUGGUGUUUACUUAAGGUUUUAUAAAAUUUAUUAGUAAUUUCUCCUACCAAAAAAAAAAAAAAAAA